rnacentral:rRNA from 1 species
CUGGAGUUNCUAGUAAUCGCAGAUCAGAAUGCUGCGGUGAAUGCGUUCCCGGGUCUUGUACACACCGCCCGUCACACCACGGGAGUUGGAGACGCCCGAAGCCGAUUAUCUAACCUUUUGGAAGAAGGCGUCGAAGGUGGAAUCAAUAACUGGGGUGAAGUCGUAACAAGGUAGCCGUAUCGGAAGGUGCGGCUGGAUCACCUCCUUUCUAAGGA